GCGUCCACCAAACACAACACCAACUAUUUCGACUACGGCAUUCCCCGAUAGGUCUCUGACGUUCAGAAGCUCCGGUCUCAAUACCAGCGGGAGCUUCUCCUUUCCUUCCAGGAAUGAUGCAGCUGGUGAUAGAAAAUUGUCAAAUCUGGGCCAUAGACCCAUAUCAAGGUGUUGAUGCCCAGCAGAGUAUAUCUACUCUGAGUUCAGACCGCACUGAGGCUUUUCUAAAACAAUCCAACUUGAAGAUGAGUCGUCCAAGCUAAAACCCAAUGGACCUGGACUUCUUGAGAUUCUCAGUUCAUCAUCACCUUUGAAGCUAAUCAUAGUCUAUAUAGGUGUGUUUUUUCUUUUUCUACAUCCCUGUUUCUAUAUGCUUGAUGUUGAACACUUUUAGCAAUAGCUAUUACUAGUGUAUUAUUUUUGCUUUCUACUAAGGCUUGAUGUGUUGUUGCAUGUUUUAUGUGCAACUAAUGGACUGAUAUGCAUAUGCAUUUGUUGAUGAACUUAAUUUCUUUGUUGUUCUAAUGGAGUA